UCCCACCCCACCCGCUCCCUACGAUCUCUUCCUGUAAUCUCCCCCGAUCCCACAUGUGCCUUCCCUUCCUGGCCCGCGCCGUCGCCGGCCCUGACCUCCAAUCGUGUCGCCGCCAGGCCCGACGCCCAACCGUGUCGUUGCAGAGGCCCGACCUCCCUACGCCGCCGCUCCCCGCUACUCCUAGCUCUCUGCGUCGCCUCCCUGACCCUACCUCCGGCGCCGCCGUCGCCGCCGCCCCAACCUCUGGCGCCGCUGCCGCCCCAACAUCCGGUGCCAUCUCUCCCCGCCCAACCUCCGGCGUCCCCUCGCCCGCCCCAAACUCCCUGCGCCACCACCCCUGGCCCAACCUCUGGCGCCGCCGCCGCCCCUAACUCCGGCGCCGUCUAUCACACCCAAUUUCCAGCGCCCCAACUUCCGGCGCAAGGGUGCCCAGUCCAGCCCUGCGGCGUCAGGAAGGUAGAUUCCGUCAGCUGAAGAAGUUCAAACAGGGCGAGCGCAAAACAGUGUGCGAGCAGUCUGUGCGGGCAUCUAUCUCUCGUUGCUGUUCUUUUUUGUCAUCCUGGUGCCAUCGGUCCAUCUGCAUGAGGCCAUCCUAAGGCAGCAGUUGUGUUCGAGGCUCGCUACCUCCUUAGCGUCGAGAUCUCCAUAGCAGGUCGUACUAUGAAGAAGUAGCAGGCCAGACUGAAGAAAAAUAGCAGGUUGAGAGAUUUGCCCUCAUCCAGAGGGGAUGCAGGCCACCGCCAAAUGGAGCAAGGUCGUCCUCAGCCUGUGCCUCCACGAGCCUCAUCUCUCCCUUCCUCCAGCGCGUCGCCGACGAGGCCAACCGCCUACACUGUCUUCGGCUGCAAUGAUGUCGUCUCGACGAGGCCAACCGCCUACACUGACUUCAGUUGCAACGACGUCGUCUCUCUCCAUCAACCUUCUCGUCUCCUCUCAGCCAUCAAGGGAAACGGUGGUGUAGCUUGUUGCUUACAAAGGGAUGAGUGGAAGGUGAAGAACCGAAGAAACUGCAGGUUCAAAAGUUGAAGGUCUGCUCAACAUUUUUGUUACAGAUGCCUCUUUAGUAUUUACAGUUUCAGUCAUCCACCGGCCUCCUCUAUCACGCUCGUCACCUCGUCAGCGCUGGAGUGAAGGUCGGCUCCUCUCCACUCUGGAGUUCGGUUUUUACUGAUGUUGUAGCUCCUAAAUCCGUUGGACACCCCUGUGACACCCCGUGUGUGGCCGGUGGAGCUCAGCCGCCCCACUGGUUCCCCUUCCCAUGCAUCACGAAUCAGCGCGGACAUAACAUGCUAGCAAUUUUAUGCUUUGGCUACUAUUAAUGUGUUUGUGCAAUUAGCAAAAUUCCUCUUUUAUAUUGCUUAUUCACUAAUCAUUCAUGCUUUGUGUCCUAAAAGAAAUACAGUGUGCUCUGUUUGAAAAAACAUGUGGUCAGCACAGGUUUGUUACUAUAUGGACCCGAAGGUUUAACAAACAAAACAUUCAGAUUUCUCUUUAUUCGUACUCAGAGUAUAAAGGUUGGAGUGAGGUAGCGCUUAUUUCCUAUAUAGCUGCUCAUUUUGGAUGCAGUUUUAACAAUCAGGCUAGGGCGGCGGUGAGCGUGGGUAGGCCGGCCAAACCUUCCUGGCGCUAGGUCAACCAGCAGCGUCGCCCACCACCGUACUGUCCUACGGCAACGGCCCAACCUGGGCAGGCGUGCUUUCUGUGACAUGCUCCUACACAUGGAUGUCUUGGUGAGGUAAAAACUUCUGUUAACUUAACUUAGCUAUCUCGACUGAUUGAACUGCAGGGGUUGUGUGGAGUCUGAUGUGGUGCUAGUUUUUGAUUAAUGCAAUUUGGAAGAACUUGCGUCUCUAAAAAUCAAACUCUGCAUUUUGGUGUAUUCUUCUUUAGAAGUUCAGGUCAUCAUAAGUUGCUUCGGUUGAGCUAGUUACUGUUGUGAAAAAGUUCAACUCGUCAUAUUUGAACAUCGGAAAAAGAGCUGUUGUAGUCUCCUGCUAUAUGCUUGUUAUAUGCCUAAAUAGUACAGGCUCAACCGAAGCAAGUAGUUAUAGUCUCCUGCUAUAUGCUUAAUAGUACAUUUUUUAUAUAUUCUUGUUCGGAAGUUCAGGUCAUUCAAAGAGACCAAAUAGUACAGGCUCAACCAAAUAGUGACAAGUCUACUAGAGUCGCAAAAAUAUAACGACACAAAAAUGCAACUCCGCACUCUCCUCAAAAUGGUCAUCAUAUUCUUAAGAAGAUCGGGAUUACACUAUAUGGUCGAGCUAGUACUACCAGACUGAAAAAAUUGCGGAGUUGGAUUUUAGAGCCUGGACAUUUUCAGAAGUGGUCAAUUGAACCUGAACCAAAAAGAUUGACCUGAAAUUCGUUUGAGCUAGUUACUGCCAGACUGAAAAAAUUGUAAUAGGUAAGCGGUAUUGUACUAUUUUCUAUUGUGUGAUGCUCGUACCCCAUGGCCAUGGAAGGUUCAUAUGUUGUGCUCUUUUUUUCUAGCUGAUUCAUAUUCUAUUUUGUAGCCUUAAUGAUAUUCUAUACACUGAUGGCGAGAGUCCAACCAUGGCUAUAUGCCAAAUUCUACUAUGUCUAUACGUCGGCCAUCGUGAAGUCCUACUAUAGCUAUAUGCCAAGUUUAA